UGGGGUUUGGUCUUCGAGGACGUCAUGCAGGCAAAUCCGCAUGGCACUAGUCCAAGGAGAUUGACGACGUCUGUCGCAAGACAGAUUAAGAAGAGGGAGCGGGGUGCCAGGAAAAUCUUCUAAGGUUCGUAUACAAGUAUCCGUACCGCAAACCGACACAGGUGGACUGGGCGAGUAGCCUAAGAUGAACGGGAGAGCAUUCGUUAAGGAACUCGGCAAAAAAGCUAGGCGUAAGUUCGCAACAUGCCUUGCCGGCAGCAAUGUCGGCCGCAGCUAAAGUUUUUCAAUCGACUGUUUACCAAAAACACAGCUCUCUGCAAACCCGUAAGGGGAAGUAUAGGGGGUGACACCUGACCAGUGCUGGAACGUUAACGGGAGCGGUUCACGCCAAUCCCCGAAGCGCCAGUGAACGUCGGCGAUAACUAUAAUCGUCCUAAGGUAGCGAAAUUCCUUGUCUGGUAAGUUCAGACGUGCACGAAUGGCGUAACGAGUGGGGAACUGUCUCGGGGAGUAGCUCGGUGAAAAUACAGUGGGGGUGAAGAUGCCCCCUAGCUGCAGAUAGACGAAAAGACCCCGUGAGCUUUACUCUAGCUUGGUAUUGCGAUUGUUUCCUUACUGCGUAGAAUAGUGGUGAGAGGUUUGAUGUAUAUGGUUUCGGCCGUAUUCUACUCGACAGUGAAAUAGCCAUCUGUAAUGAGGCAAUCGCUAACGUGAACGGAAAAAACGUUCGCAGACAGUAUCUGGUGGGGAGUUUAACUGGGGCGGUUUCCUCCCAAAAGGUAACGGAGGAGUAUAUUAAGGUCAUCUAGGCGCGAAUGGAAACCGUGCCGAUAGCGUAAGGGCAAAAGAUGGCUUGACUGUAAGACGGGCAUGUCGAGCAGACACGAAAGUGGAUCCUAGUGAACCUACACUACGCUUUAGACGCGGGUGCAGAUUAACGGAUAGAAGCUACCACGGGGAUAACAGGCUAGUUGUGCCCAAGAGUUCAUAUCGACGGCACAGUUCGGCACCUCGAUGUCGGCUCAUCUUAUCCUGGUGGUGGAGAAGCUACCAAGGGUAUGGCUGUUCGCCAUUUAAAAAGAUACGUGAGCUGGGUUCAAACCGUAGAGGAGUGAAUGUUAGAGAAUGAAUGGUGAUGUUAUUUUCUCAGAUAACACAAUUCACUGUUCACAACAAUUUUCUAACAUUGACUUCUCUUAGUUUGAACCCGAGGCGGUAAGACUACACUUACCAAAAAGACAUCAAUCACGGCGGUCAUAUACAGCAAUGUAUAUGGACAAGCUGACUAAUAUCGGAAGAAUCUUAAACAUAGUAUUACUUUCACAAAGGGAAGAAGACUGG
rnacentral:rRNA from 1 species